UGUGGUAUGCCUCAGUGGUAGAGUGCUUACCCAGCAUACUCGAGGCCCUGAGUUGGAUCCUCAGCGCCACAG
rnacentral:tRNA from 1 species